UAAGGGAUAUUGCGCCAAUGGGCGAAAGCCUGACGCAGCAACGCCGCGUGCGGGAGGACGGCCUUCGGGUUGUAAACCGCUUUUCCGGGGGAAGAGGGAGGACGGUACCCUGGGAAGAAGUCUCGGCUAACUACGUGCCAGCAGCCGCGGUAAAACGUAGGAGGCGAGCGUUAUCCGGAUUUACUGGGUGUAAAGCGCGUGCAGGCGGUUUAGCAAGUCGUGCGUGAAAGCGCUCUGGCUCAACCGGGCGAGGACGUGCGGAACUGCUGAACUGGAGGCAGGUAGAGGCGUGUGGAAUUCCGGGUGUAGUGGUGAAAUGCGUAGAGAUCCGGAGGAACACCAGUGGCGAAGGCGACGCGCUGGGCCUGGCCUGACGCUAAGACGCGAAAGCAUGGGGAGCGA
rnacentral:rRNA from 1 species